AGAGAGAGAAAGCAAGCCCACGAGGGAGAGGGAGAAGCAGGGUCCCAGCUGAGCAAAGAGCUCAAUGGAAGGCUUGAUUCCAGGAGUCUGGGUUCAUGAACUGAGCCACUCAGAUGGAAAUUGAAAGCCCUUAUGAACUGUCAUGGCAAGAAUAUCAGCUUGUGUUGGCCUGUGAAGGGAUCGUGAGUCAUUGUGUGGCUGUAUUUGUUAUGAGCUCUGAGACUCACCAGGUGGUACAAUAUCAAUGCUCAACUUAUGGAGAAAAAUCAAUGAACACAGAAGAUUUCAAGUUAAUUAUGCCCCACAACCUCUUUUAUGAGCUCCGUUGAGCAGGAAGUGGAAGGAGCACUGAGCAGAUGUGGAGAGACACAGAUUCCAGUCCUGUCACCACUACAACAAGGCAGGCUGUCUCCUUUCUGGGAGCAGGUUUUCAUCCAGACAACCUGGAGAACACAUGGUUACAGACAUGUCUUUGGAUCAUCAGUGUCAUUUUACUUAUAGAUGGCCUUCAGGUUCUCCCUGCUUGCUGUCCUAGAUAUUUGUUUCACCAUGACCAAAGUCCUUGGACCACUAAGUAAGUUUGUUGAGUAAAGGGCAUGAGGUAUUUGAAUCUGGGCCUGGUCAGGAUUUCAGGUUUCUAGACAAUUCAAUUAAUGCCUUUGUCUUAAUACUCAUUAAAAAAUUGAAUAAAAAUAAUUGCUUUACCUACUUUAUAGAAAGAAUGAGGAGUAUAAGCACUUUAUAAAAUGCUUUACCAGAACAUGUAAGUUAUAUGUUUCAUAACACAGAGUUUGUGAGUUAUUUUUCUUAUGUCUAAUCUUUCUAAGCAGCUUAUAAACUCAUAAUGAGUAGGACUCAAUCUUUUCACUCCAGUGGUUCCCAUGUCAGUUGCUCAUUAGUCCUGUUUGGGAAGCUUUUGAAAGACAUACAUUCUUAGCACCUGACCCAUCCCAGAUAUCCUGACUCUGGGAUAUGGGCUCGUGCAUAAGAGGUACCAUCUGAUUUGGGCAAGGCCAGAUUGGGGAACUAUUUGUACAUAGUAAUGGAAAUUCUCCACCUCCAGCAAUGCCCAGUAUCAGGACACAGUAGGAACGUCUAUUUGAUAAUGGACAAAGAUUAAAAUAAAAUGUCUCUGCAAGAGGUAAGGUUUUGAAAAUGUCACACUCAUUUAUAAAUAGCAAUAUUAUAUGUUGAUUAGAACAGGUGUUAAUAGAAGAAUGAGUCUAAGAGGCCAAUUUUGAAGCUAAAACUGAUCAUCUGGUCUUGAAUCCUGACUUCACU